rnacentral:rRNA from 1 species
GAGUAACACGUGGGUGAUCUGCCCUGCACUUCGGGAUAAGCCUGGGAAACUGGGUCUAAUACCGGAUAUGACCUCCUAUCGCAUGGUGGGUGGUGGAAAGAUUUAUCGGUGCAGGAUGGGCCCGCGGCCUAUCAGCUUGUUGGUGGGGUAAUGGCCUACCAAGGCGACGACGGGUAGCCGACCUGAGAGGGUGACCGGCCACACUGGGACUGAGACACGGCCCAGACUCCUACGGGAGGCAGCAGUGGGGAAUAUUGCACAAUGGGCGAAAGCCUGAUGCAUCGACGCCGCGUGAGGGAUGACGGCCUUCGGGUUGUAAACCUCUUUCAGCAGGGACGAAGCGCAAGUGACGGUACCUGCAGAAGAAGCACCGGCUAACUACUUGC